AGAGUUUGAUCAUGGCUCAGAACGAACGCUGGCGGCGUGGAUAAGACAUGCAAGUCGAGCGCUGAUUACAGGGUAGCAAUAUUCUGUGGUCGGAGCGGCGCAAGGGUGCGUAACACGUGGGUAAUCUGCCAUGAAGUUUGGGAUAACUUGCUGAAAGGCGAGCUAAUACCGGAUGUGAAAGUUGGGAGGCAUCUUCUGAUUUUCAAAGCUGAGGACCGUAAGGCCUGGCGCUUCAUGAUGAGCCCGCGGCCUAUCAGCUAGUUGGUAAGGUAACGGCUUACCAAGGCUAAGACGGGUAGCUGGUCUGAGAGGACGACCAGCCACACUGGAACUGAGACACGGUCCAGACACCUACGGGUGGCAGCAGUCGAGAAUUUUUCACAAUGGGCGCAAGCCUGAUGGAGCGACGCCGCGUGGGGGAUGAAUGGCUUCGGCCCGUAAACCCCUGUCAUUUGCGAUCAAACCUCGUUAUUUAAAAGAUGACGAGCUGAUAGUAGCGAAAGAGGAAGGGACGGCUAACUCUGUGCCAGCAGCCGCGGUAAUACAGAGGUCCCAAGCGUUGUUCGGAUUCACUGGGCGUAAAGGGUGCGUAGGUGGCGAGGUAAGUCGGAUGUGAAAGCUCGGAGCUCAACUCCGAAAUGGCAUUGGAAACUACCUUGCUCGAGGGUCGGAGGGGGGACUGGAAUACUUGGUGUAGCAGUGAAAUGCGUAGAUAUCAAGUGGAACACCAGUGGCGAAGGCGAGUCCCUGGACGACUCCUGACACUGAGGCACGAAAGCUAGGGGAGCAAACAGGAUUAGAUACCCUAGUAGUCC
rnacentral:rRNA from 1 species